UACGUAGGGUGCGAGCGUUGUCCGGAAUUAUUGGGCGUAAAGGGCUCGUAGGCGGUUUGUCGCGUCGGGAGUGAAAACCCAGGGCUUAACCCUGGGCUGGCUUCCGAUACGGGCAGACUAGAGGUAUGCAGGGGAGAACGGAAUUCCUGGUGUAGCGGUGAAAUGCGCAGAUAUCAGGAAGAACACCCGUGGCGAAGGCGGUUCUCUGGGACGGUACUGACGCUGAGACGCGAAAGCGUGGGGAGCGAACAGG
rnacentral:rRNA from 1 species